UACGGAGGGUGCAAGCGUUAUCCGGAUUCACUGGGUUUAAAGGGUGCGUAGGUGGGUAAGUAAGUCAGUGGUGAAAUCUCCGGGCUUAACCCGGAAACUGCCAUUGAUACUAUUUGUCUUGAAUACUGUGGAGGUCAGCGGAAUAUGUCAUGUAGCGGUUGAAAUGCUUAGAUAUGACAUAGAACACCAAUUGCGAAGGCAGCUGGCUACACAAAUAUUGACACUGAGGCACGAAAAGCGUGGGGAUCAAACAGG
rnacentral:rRNA from 1 species